rnacentral:rRNA from 1 species
UACGUAGGCAGCAAGCGUUGUUCGGAAUUACUGGGCGUAAAGAGUGUGUAGGCGGUGCUCUAAGUUCGGUGUGAAAUCUCCCGGCUUAACUGGGAGGGUGCGCCGGAAACUGGAGUGCUCGAGCGUGGGAGAGGAAAGCGGAAUUCCUGGUGUAGCGGUGAAAUGCGUAGAUAUCAGGAGGAACACCUGCGGUGUAGACGGCUUACUGGACCAUAACUGACGCUGAGGCACGAAAGCGUGGGUAGCAAACAGG